GACAGAGGGUGCAACCGUUGUUCGGAAUUACUGGGCGUAAAGCGCGUGUAGGCUGCUUGGAAAGUCGGAUGUGAAAGCCCUGGGCUCAACCUAGGAAGUGCAUUCGAAACUUCUGAGCUGGAGUGCUGGAGAGGAAGGCGGAAUUCUCGGUGUAGAGGUGAAAUUCGUAGAUAUCGAGAGGAACACCGGUGGCGAAGGCGGCCUUCUGGACAGCAACUGACGCUGAGACGCGAAAGCGUGGGGAGCGAACAGG
rnacentral:rRNA from 1 species